rnacentral:rRNA from 1 species
AUGAAUAAGGGUUUCAAGUUGGACUUCCUCAAGUUCAAAAAACAUAUACAGAAUUUUGUGUCUUUUAUUGAGAGGAAUAAAGCUCACAAUGCAAAGAUGAAUUUUGUCCCGAUGGAAGAUCUCCUAUUGGCCUUGUGCAGUUCAUGUGGUGAACUAGCCAAGACGAUUGGUUGUACUACAUCUGUAGAUCCCUAUGUUUUCAAGAUCACUUCCGUUUUCAACCCAUCUCAGUAUGUUGAACAGAUGGUUGCAUCAAGAGUAGGAUUUACAAUAAGAUUUGAGGGCAUGGCCACGAUCGAAUUUCUCACAAAUGGGGCACUGAUUAGAGAAAUGAUGUGUUAUCCUCUUCUGAGAAAAUAUAGGUGCCAUGUUAUGACCCUGCCUGAAGUAAUCAAUCUUAGUGGCAAUGCAUCCCCAAUAAGUGGUGGUAAAAGCGCGUGGAGAUGUUCCACGGCACCGUGGCCGGUGCUUUCAAAUCCUCCGCUAACGUGGCCUCUCGGGGUCGUGGCGGUGGUGGUCGCUAUUCUCCCAAGAACGGCGGCGGCAGCGGACCUCGCAAUGGUGGAAAUCAAGGAGGUGGCGGCGGCUAUCACAACGGCGGUGGUGGUCGCGACCACUACAACAACAGCGGCGGUGGUGGCGGCGGUCACUACCAAAACUCUAGAGGUGGUGGCGGUGGCUACCAGAACUCCGGCGGCAACAACAAUUCCAGGCAGCGCCCCUUCUACAACAACAACAGAGGGCGUCCAGUUUUUCAGGGGUAUGAUGGCUAUGAAAAUAAAUGUCAGAUAUGCAAAAAAAACCAUAUUGCCAAGGACUGUGACUAGCGCUACGCGGAAGACAACUCUCGCAAGAAGGUUGCAGCAGCCACCAUGGACAACUCCUAUGGGGUCGAUACCAACUGGUAUGCUGACUCUGGCGCCACCAACCACAUCACCCGUGAACUCGGAAAGGUGA